UACGUAGGGACCAAGCGUUGUUCGGAUUUACUGGGCGUAAAGGGCGCGUAGGCGGCGUGGUAAGUCACUUGUGAAAUCUCCGGGCUUAACUCGGAACGGUCAAGUGAUACUGUCGGACUAGAGUACAGAAGGGGCAACUGGAAUUCUCGGUGUAGCGGUGAAAUGCGUAGAUAUCGAGAGGAACACCGGUGGCGAAGGCGGUUCUCUGGGCAUUACCUGACGCUGAGGAGCGAAAGUGUGGGGAGCGAACAGG
rnacentral:rRNA from 1 species